AUUGAACGCUGGCGGCAUGCCUUACACAUGCAAGUCGAACGGCAGCGCGGGAGCAAUCCUGGCGGCGAGUGGCGAACGGGUGAGUAAUACAUCGGAACGUGCCCAAUCGUGGGGGAUAACGCAGCGAAAGCUGUGCUAAUACCGCAUACGAUCUACGGAUGAAAGCAGGGGAUCGCAAGACCUUGCGCGAAUGGAGCGGCCGAUGGCAGAUUAGGUAGUUGGUGAGGUAAAGGCUCACCAAGCCUUCGAUCUGUAGCUGGUCUGAGAGGACGACCAGCCACACUGGGACUGAGACACGGCCCAGACUCCUACGGGAGGCAGCAGUGGGGAAUUUUGGACAGUGGGCGAAAGCCUGAUCCAGCCAUGCCGCGUGCAGGAUGAAGGCCUUCGGGUUGUAAACUGCUUUUGUACGGAACGAAACGGUCUUUUCUAAUAAAGAAGGCUAAUGACGGUACCGUAAGAAUAGCACCGGCUAACUACGUG
rnacentral:rRNA from 1 species